GGGGUUGUGGCUCAGCGGUAGAGCCCUUGCCUAGCAUAUGCAAGAUCCUGAGUUCGAUCCUCAGCACCA
rnacentral:tRNA from 1 species